UUGAUAUGUGUAUGUAUAAAUUAGUCUACACAUAUAUAUAUAUAUGCUCCCCUUUGCGAUAUAUCGUUUCAGUCGUCAUACAAUCAGAUUGACGAUUCGAUUAUUGCUCGUCUACAU